CUUUGAUCUUUGUUGCGACUUGCAGCAUCUUUAGUUGUGGUGUGCAGACUCUUAGUUUCAGCAUGUGGGAUCUAGUUUCCUGACCAGGGAUCAAACC
rnacentral:pre_miRNA from 1 species